AGCUAGGAAGCUAACAGGUAAUUCGUAUUAAUAUUCCAUUUAGUUCUGGAGCAAGGCUCUAUUCUUAUGUAAAAUUAUUAUUUGUUUUUGAUGUAAAAAUGCUUCCACUAA